GUGGCCGAAUGGUUACGAUGUCCGCUUUGCAAGCGGAUGAUCAUGGGUUCGAUUCCCAUC
rnacentral:tRNA from 1 species